UAGAUAGCAUCAGCAGCCAUACAUAAAGUCU
rnacentral:piRNA from 1 species